UACGUAGGGGGCAAGCGUUGUCCGGAAUCAUUGGGCGUAAAGCGCGUGUAGGCGGCUCUGUAAGUCUGCUGUGAAAGUCCAGGGCUCAACCCUGGGAUGCCGGUGGAUACUGUCGAGCUCGAGUCCGGAAGAGGCGAGUGGAAUUCCUGGUGUAGCGGUGAAAUGCGCAGAUAUCAGGAGGAACACCAAUGGCGAAGGCAGCUGGCUGGGACGUGACUGACGCUGAGACGCGAAAGCGUGGGGAGCAAACAGG
rnacentral:rRNA from 1 species